rnacentral:misc_RNA from 1 species
GAUGAAGAACGUAGCGAAAUGCGAUACUUGGUGUGAAUUGCAGAAUCCCGUGAACCAUCGAGUCUUUGAACGCAAGUUGCGCCUCAAGCCAUUAGGUUGAGGGCACGUCUGCCUGGGCGUCACAUAUCGUUGCCUGAUGCCAGUUUCCCCGUGAUGGGUGACUGUGCAGGGCGAAUGAUGGCUUCCCGUGAGCAUUGUUGCCUCAUGGUUGGUUGAAAAUUGAGUCCUUGGUAGGGAGCGCCGUGAUAGAUGGUGGUUGAGUGACGAACGAGACCCAAUCAUGUGAGACCCCUACCGAAUUUGGCCUUCAUGACCCACAUGCGUCUUUGGAACGCUCAUGACGAGACCUCAGGUCAGGCGGGGCUACCCGCUGAGUUUAAGCAUAUCAAUAAGCGGAGGA